AGANGNNGCCAGCGUUAUUCGGAAUUAUUGGGCGUAAAGGGCGCGUAGGCGGCCAUGCGUGUCUUCCGUGAAAUCCCUCGGCUUAACCGAGGACGUGCGGAAGAAACUGCAAGGCUCGAGUCCGGAAGAGGGGGGCGGAAUUCCCAGUGUAGCGGUGAAAUGCGUAGAUAUUGGGAGGAACACCAGUGGCGAAGGCGGUCCCCUGGGCCGGAACUGACGCUGAGGCGCGAAAGCGUGGGUAGCAAACGGGAUUAGAUACCCCGGUAGUCCACGCCGUAAACGAUGGGCACUUGGUGUCGCGGGUAUCGACCCCUGCGGUGCCGAAGCUAACGCAUUAAGUGCCCCGCCUGGGGAGUACGGUCGCAAGGCUG
rnacentral:rRNA from 1 species